rnacentral:lncRNA from 1 species
UAAUCAUUCACAAACCCUUUUCUUACCAAACCAUAACCAUGUCGUAAAAUCAUUUACACAAAGUGAGUAUUUUGUCAUACAUGCCACAUUCAAAAUACACAAGCCAUUUUACCAAUUUAGGCCUUCGGAUAGUGUGAACGAGUCUUCGACCUAUCCCGAUUCUCAAGCCGGCUUGUCAACAACUACAAUGAAUGAAAAGGAGGGAGUAAACAUAAAUGCUUAGUAAGUUCACAUGCAAAUAGCAAGUAACAUAAUCAUGCAAUUCCACAUAAAACAUCAUUUGCAUAAACAACAUCAAGACAUUCGUGUUUCGUUUGCAUUUAAUAUCUUUCUACGAUUUCACCAUACCAAGUUCUCAACCCGAGGAUUUAAGCAUAUACCUGUCAAAUUUUCUCAUUCACCACACUUACCAAUAUAUCACCUUCGUUUUAGGCAUUCUUCUCAUUCACUUAAGAUUCACCCGUUGAACACAUCAGAAUAUAAUUCGAAUACGCGGAUUUCAUGAACGUAAGUGCCAUACCCGCAGCUAGACAAACUCAAUAGCCUGCAGAACUUAUGUAGCCAAGCUACCAUGUAACCCGCCCAUAAGUGAACUUGGACUCAACUCAACGUGUAACACCCCCAUGCCCGAAACCGUCACCUGAGUCAAGCUUGAGGUGUUACUAAACUUAUCUUACCUUUUAAACAACUCUAAACCACUUAUUUUAAUUUUCGAAAUAAACUGUUUUUCUGCGUCAUGGUUGCUUAAAAAUUCAUUUCUCGAGUUUCAAAACUCAAAAUUAAGAUCCGUAAAUUUUUCCUGAAACUAGACUCAUAUAUCUAUCUAAUAAAUUUUUUCUAGAAUUUUUGACUUGGCCAAUUAGUACAGUUUAUUAGUUAAAGUUUCCCCUGUUUCAAAACUCGACUGCACUGACCUCUUCUUACUACGAACCAUGUUUCUUCCUGUAAAAAAAAUUCAUAUGACUAAGCCGUUUAAUUCUAUUAAAACUAGAUUCAACAAGGAUUCUAACCAUAUAAAGUACACCUUCUAAUUAGUUUUUUACAAUUUAUGGUGAAUUGCCAAACUUGAAAAAGGGGAUCCAGAAAUCGCUCUGACCCUAUUUCACUAAAACUCAGAUAUCUCAUAAAAUAUAAUACCUUUACCUGUUUUGCUUAUUCCAUAAGAAAAUAUACAUAAUAAGCUUUAAUUUCAUAUAUUAUUCAUCUUCAAACUAUGUUUCUACAAUUUUUAGUGAUUUUUCAAAGUUACGUCAUUUCUAUUACUUGAAUCUGUUUUUAGGUUACUUUCACAUUUUUCAUAAUUUUCAUGUGAUAAUCACCAUUCAAUCAUACAUAUUAAUAAACAUGUAUAUCAUCGACUAUUUUAUUAGCUAAUCACUAGCAAGUAUUAACACAUCAUUCAUUGUUCAUAUUAUACCAAAAGUAGCUAAGUUUCUAUACAUGCCAUACCCAAAACAAAACGUCUAAUUAUACCGAGUUAUUUCUUUGAUAGUGUGAUCGGCUUCCGACGUUUCCUUCGAUCCCCGAGUGACUAGAUA